CAGCCCUGUAGGAGACACCUCCAGAGAAAGUAACAGCUCUCAAUUGAUUAGCUGAGGAGACCGAUUUUGUAAAUCACUACUUUUCUAACAACACUGGCACAGAUGGCCAAGCAUUCUCCCUUUUCUCAGAGCUGGUUUUCCAUCCCGGAAAGAGGACUUACAUAUACAAAGUUACUCUAAUCAGUUGUAAGCCUCAGGGGCUGGAUCCUGACAUGAACCAGACACCUCCAGAAUUCUAUCCCAAGCAAAAGAUUAUUUCAAGGCCAGAACUCACUCCCUGCUGGAGACUGACUACAAGAUCCACUGAGAUUGAUUUGUAACCUGAUUGGGCCCACAGUGAUGCUAGCCCCUUCACCAGAUGGAACAAUAAUUCCAGACAAGCCAUCAGAGCAGGUCACACCACUUGACACCUUCUCGCCCCCUUGCCUCUCCUGCAUUCCAAACCCCUCUCUUUAAAAUCCCCAUGUUCCCUCCGUAAACUGGACAGUGCCAAUUGUUGGAAAUAAUUCUGGCACUCUUUUCCUUCUUAGCAUGGAUAAAAAGAUUCACCCUCUUUUUAUCA
rnacentral:lncRNA from 1 species